CUCCUCCAGAUAUGCCUUUGACAAGAAAUUUGUCAGUACUUUCACCUCUGACUCGGGGCCAAACAUACUAGUGCAGAGAUGGAAUAGGAGAGCUAGCCAUAGGAAGUGCUUGCAGACACAGUUCUACCCAUCUAAAGGAGAGCUUUUGCAACAGUGCACUGAGUAACUGGUGUAGAAUUACAAGACAGCAGAACACUCGGUCCUAAAGUCACACUAGAAGCUGGAAUAGGAGGAAUCUGUACUAAAAUCUCCUUGUGGGGCUGCCCUGGAGGCUUUGAGUGACUGUGACUUUUGCUUACAUGAAAUAGAAAAUCACCCUUGUACCAGUUGUUAGCUAGCCACUCCUACCAGGAAUGAGCUCGUAAGGACUUGCUUUUCUUUGUUUACUGUCAUGCUCUGCUCUGACGGAGUCACAAGUUUGUCAAGGCAUUUUACUCUGUCAAGAAAUGAAUAAAAUAACUUACACUGAUAAAAUAAUGAAAC
rnacentral:lncRNA from 1 species